UGUAAUUCUUACACAGUUGCUAAACUGAUUUGGAGGGAAGUAGUCUUGCCUGGCUUGGCUAAACUUUGCUGUGAAUCAUUGGAACAACUUCCAAACAUUGAGGAAAAAGGUCUGCCCAGAAUUUUCAGCUAAUGGAGCAGAUGUGAGGUCGGGGAGUCACUCCCAGGUAUUCACCUUUUCCUGUCUCUGAGGUGGGAUCAAGACAAACGUCCCUCUAAUGGGACAAAGGAGGAAAAUGUGAAGAAAUCUUUAACUGACGGAGGUUGAUCUGUGGGAGUGCCGAAAAUACAAUGCCCAUGCAUCCUCUGAACUUGAGAAUAAGAUCACACACCAGUUUAAGUGCAGUAUCAAAGUGUCCGUAGGAAUGACUGCGAACAAUCCUGUUGGUCAGUCUGUACUGGUAUCUGUCAAAGCCCGUGGAAAGGUGGGUUGCUGGGCAGUUUGCUGGUGCAGCUUUGUCUUUUAGAAAGAAGCUUUCUUAGUAAACCACUGGGAACAGCUGGAAUGGGAACAGUCCAGUUUCUCCAUGGUGCAGAAGUAUUGAGAAUUUAUUGUGAAGCUGUUUUCAGAUACUUCAAAAUAGAGGAACCAGAAUCAACCAGCAGCCUGGGCCCUGCAAGGUAUUGCUGGUGAUGAGACUCGACCAGGACUUGCUUUUUACUUGUUUGAGCAACUAUUUAAAUGUUAUCCUGACUGAAGGAAGUGUGCACACCUGAGAGAUGUUAGAGAGUGUCCAAAAGAGUGCUAUGAAGACAGUGAGAAGUCUGGAAGGGCAGCAGGUGUGAGGAGCGGCUGAGGCUCCUGGGUUUGUUUGGCCCAGAGCAGUGGAGGUCGAGGAGGGGAGGCCUCGUGGGGCUGCAGCUCCUCACGGGGCAGAGGACAGUGCUGAGCUCCCUGGGGACAGCAACAGAGGUUGAGGGAACAGCAUGGAGCUGUGUCAGAGGACGGUCGGGGGAAGGUGCUGCACCAGAGGGCGAUGGACAUGGACCAGGCUACCCAGGGCAGUGAGCACAGCUCCAUGCUGCCAGAGCUCACGGAGCAUUGAGACACUGCUCUCAGAGAUAGGGUUUGGGUUUUGUGUAGUCCUGAGUGGAGCAGGGAGUUGGACGCAAUGAUCUUUGUGUGGUCCUUCCAACUUGGCAUUUGCUAUGACUCUUCAGAGAGCCUUGUAAGGGGCUCAAAAAUGAGAACCAGAUGUAGAGACAGAUUGUUUCUGGCUAAGGGCACAUCAGUGUUGACACUGUUGUCUAUACACAGAGCUGUCAUCUCUCUGAAUUACUCCUAGAUUAGGGAAACAAUAGGAAGAAAAAACACCGUAUUACUCAACUCUGAGAAUUAAAG
ensembl:lncRNA